GUAGUAUUCCCUUCGUCCCAAAAUUGUUGUCUUACAUUUGAUUUAGAUACGGAUGUAUCUAACACUAAAAUGUAACUAGAUACAUCCCUAUUUAGACAAAUUUAAGACAAGAAUUUUGGGACGGAGGGAGUACAAA
rfam:Triticum aestivum genome assembly, contig: Triticum_aestivum_CS42_TGACv1_scaffold_129443_2BL